AGGUUUCCGUAGGUGAACCUGCGGAAGGAUCAUUGUCGAGUCCCUCGGAAUAGAUGAGCAACGCGAACAUGUGAUGGAAACAAAACGGGAUGCACGGGCUCGCGCGGACGGGACAUCCCGGACGAUGCAGCCGGUUGCCCCCCACGCUCGAUGGGGCCGUCGCGUGGCUUGAGCCCGCAUGGUUCCGUCGUUGCGAACGUAACACCAAGGCGCGGCAAGCGCCAAGGAACAAAGUAGCGUGGCAGCGCUCUCUUGCGGCGCGCCCCGUAAGCGGGGGUACGCACCGCGAGUGUUGGUGACUGCGCGUGUCGUGCGCGAUGAGCGCCUCAAUGAAAAACGACUCUCGGCAACGGAUAUCUCGGCUCUCGCAUCGAUGAAGAACGUAGCGAAAUGCGAUACUUGGUGUGAAUUGCAGAAUCCCGCGAACCAUCGAGUUUUUGAACGCAAGUUGCGCCCGAAGCGAUCUCGCCGAGGGCACGUCCGCCUGGGCGUCACGCAUCGCGUCGCCCCCUCGCCCUACCCUACUUCGGGUGAGAGGCAGGGGGCGGAGAAUGGCCUCCCGUGCGAUCGAUAGCGCGGCCGGCCCAAACGAUAUGGCUUCAGCGCCGAGCGCUACUAGCAAUGGUGGUCGAUUGCACGGCAUCGCUUGCUGUUGUGUUCGGAGUUGCGGUGAUAUACGAGGACCCUUAGGGUGGCCGUUGGCCUAACCCCACGACCGCGACCCCCAGGUCGGGCGGGGAUUACCCGCUGAGUUUAAGCAUAUCA
rnacentral:rRNA from 1 species